rnacentral:rRNA from 1 species
UACGUAGGGUGCAAGCGUUGUCCGGAAUUAUUGGGCGUAAAGAGCUCGUAGGUGGCCUGUCGCGUCGGCUGUGAAAACUCGGGGCUCAACUCCGAGCUUGCAGUCGAUACGGGCAGGCUAGAGUUCGGCAGGGGAGACUGGAAUUCCUGGUGUAGCGGUGAAAUGCGCAGAUAUCAGGAGGAACACCGAUGGCGAAGGCAGUUCUCUGGGCCGUAACUGACGCUGAGGAGCGAAAGCGUGGGGAGCGAACAGG